UGGGGAAUAUUGGACAAUGGGCGCAAGCCUGAUCCAGCCAUACCGCGUGGGUGAAGAAGGCCUUCGGGUUGUAAAGCCCUUUUGUUGGGAAAGAAAUCCUAUCGAUUAAUACUCGGUGGGGAUGACGGUACCCAAAGAAUAAGCACCGGCUAACUUCGUGCCAGCAGCCGCGGUAAUACGAAGGGUGCAAGCGUUACUCGGAAUUACUGGGCGUAAAGCGUGCGUAGGUGGUGGUUUAAGUCUGCUGUGAAAGCCCUGGGCUCAACCUGGGAAUUGCAGUGGAAACUGGGUCACUAGAGUGUGGUAGAGGGAUGCGGAAUUUCCGGUGUAGCAGUGAAAUGCGUAGAGAUCGGAAGGAACAUCCGUGGCGAAGGCGGCAUCCUGGGCCAACACUGACACUGAGGCACGAAAGCGUGGGGAGCAAACA
rnacentral:rRNA from 1 species